rnacentral:rRNA from 1 species
UGCAGUCGAGCGGAAACGACACUAACAAUCCUUCGGGUGCGUUAAUGGGCGUCGAGCGGCGGACGGGUGAGUAAUGCCUAGGAAAUUGCCUUGAUGUGGGGGAUAACCAUUGGAAACGAUGGCUAAUACCGCAUAAUGCCUACGGGCCAAAGAGGGGGAUCUUCGGACCUCUCGCGUCAAGAUAUGCCUAGGUGGGAUUAGCUAGUUGGUGAGGUAAUGGCUCACCAAGGCGACGAUCCCUAGCUGGUCUGAGAGGAUGAUCAGCCACACUGGAACUGAGACACGGUCCAGACUCCUACGGGAGGCAGCAGUGGGGAAUAUUGCACAAUGGGCGAAAGCCUGAUGCAGCCAUGCCGCGUGUAUGAAGAAGGCCUUCGGGUUGUAAAGUACUUUCAGUUGUGAGGAAGGGUGUGUAGUUAAUAGCUGCGCAUCUUGACGUUAGCAACAGAAGAAGCACCGGCUAACUCCGUGCCAGCAGCCGCGGUAAUACGGAGGGUGCGAGCGUUAAU